GAGAGGUUGUAGGUAGCAGUGUCCUUUUUUUUUUUCUUUUUUUUUUCUUUUUCCAAGGUGACAGGGAACGAGUAUUGACUAAUCUUGCUGCGAGCAGAGGCUGAAACUGCCAGGUAGGUGCUGACCUGUGAUGACCUU